rnacentral:lncRNA from 1 species
CAGAACGGCCCCCGGGACAGAGCGACGCGGAACCCCGGGCGCCUGGGUCCCCAGCAUGAUCCUCGGGCACGCUGACUUUCUCCAAGGAGCUGCCCAAGUCCCUGGCGGGCGGCCUGCUCCCCAGCCCCCUGGCGGUGGCUGCAGUGAUGGCAGCGGCAGCAGGCUCGCCGCUGUCCCUGCGCCCGGCUCCAGCCGCACCUCUUCUCCAGGGACCGCCGAUCACUCACCCUCUGCUUCACCCGGCCCCCGGACCCAUCCGAACUGCGCACGGACCCAUCCUCUUCUCCCCGUACUGACCUCAACCCUGAACCCCUCCCAUUCAACUCCCCACCUCCAGCCGGGACCCAGGCGUCCGGGCUCCCAGCCCGCCCCUCCUCCCGGCACUCCCUAAAUGAUCUCUCCUUCCCCCCCCCCACCCCGAGAUACGGGGUUCCAGGAAAGGGGAGGGGUAGCGGGGGAGGGGGGCUUCAGAAGGGGGGGAACACCCCAGAUCUCAGGGAACCCCGCCCCCUGCCUUUCCCUCUCCCCUAGAAAAGGGGGGGCCGUCUCACCCCCGAGCCCCCUUGGAGACACCCCCCCUCCCAAAAGCCAUGUCCAUCCAGCCCUUCCCCCCAAACCUAGCACAAAACGGGGUUCACAAGCCAUGGUCGGGGUCCGGGGGGGACAGAAAUGGAUUUUCUUGGCAAUAAGCGGACUCUGGGACUCCGGCUCCCUACCCCAAACUGAAGCGCUUCCGUGAACACCCCCGUCCUCCGUAGGGGGAGGGGAGCAGGCGGGAUCCUGGGUCCCUCAUAAGCACUUUGGUUUUACCGCCUGCAACCUCACUGUGCCCGCCCCGCACCAUGCCCUAGCCCCAGGUCUAGCCGGGCCCAUUGCAGGGGGCAGCACUUGGGGGCAUCUCCGGCACUUGGGUGGGACCAAGGAGAUGCCACCAUAGACCUUUCCCUCGCCUUCUUCCUCCCUAGUCCGGGUUCCAUUCUUUUCACCAGCACCCAUCGCCCAAGGGGUACCGAGGGGGGCAAGGGGUGUCCAGUCCAAGCCCACCCCCGCCUCGCCUUCCGCAAAACUGUGAGCAAAAAGCAAUAGAAGCCUCGCCCCCGCCCUUCCCCUUCGCAGGAUUCGCCGAGUCUGUAGCCUCCCCGAUCCAAGUUCCUAGACCUCAUGGCUGUCCCCUCCCACCAGUCACCUCCACUGCACAACUCGGGCGGGGGUGUGACACCUCUCCCCCACCCCCGACUCCGUGGUUUCCGUAUCGUCAACCCUUCAGCCGCCGACCCGGGAGGGGUCUGGCCUACACUGGUCUUCCCCUUCCCAUCAACUCUUUCUGCUUGACAAUGUAGCAACCCAGGCCCCCCACCCACGGUCCUCCCCUUUUUCCUCUCCCUGACAAUAAAGUCUGAAUUUGUUCUGCCCUCC